GGGUCUUGGGAUAUUUGGGAUUAAGCAUCCUUGGGUUUGAAUAGUACUGGGCUGGGUGACCUCCCGGGAAGUCUAAAUCCAAGAGCUU
rnacentral:rRNA from 1 species